UACGUAGGGGGCAAGCGUUGUCCGGAUUUAUUGGGCGUAAAGAGCGUGUAGGCGGCUUGGUAGGUCUGCUGUGAAAACUCGAGGCUCAACCUCGAGCUGUCGGCGGAAACCACUUGGCUAGAGUCCGGAAGAGGAGAGUGGAAUUCCUGGUGUAGCGGUGAAAUGCGCAGAUAUCAGGAAGAACACCCAUGGCGAAGGCAGCUCUCUGGGACGGUACUGACGCUGAGACGCGAAAGCGUGGGGAGCAAACAGG
rnacentral:rRNA from 1 species